rnacentral:rRNA from 1 species
UACGUAGGGUGCGAGCGUUAAUCGGAAUUACUGGGCGUAAAGGGUGCGCAGGCGGUUAUAUAAGACAGAUGUGAAAUCCCCGGGCUCAACCUGGGAACUGCGUUUGUGACUGUAUGACUAGAGUACGGUAGAGAGGGGUGGAAUUCCUGGUGUAGCAGUGAAAUGCGUAGAUAUCAGGAGGAACAUCGAUGGCGAAGGCAGCCCCUUGGACCUGUACUGACGCUCGUGCACGAAAGCGUGGGGAGCAAACAGG